UGCCUUUGGCCUGGGGUUCGCCCUUCUGCUCACACCCAGGAAUCUGGUCCUGGCUAAGCCCAGCAACAGAACACGUGGUUCUGGGCAGAGAGGAAAGUCAAGACACAAGUGUCUCAGACUGAAAAAGAUCGGGUUUAUGAAAGUAUCAUUCACAUGCAAUAACAGCUGCCAAUUUAAAUGUACAAUUUGACCAGGCGACAAAUGUACACAGUUGGGCGAUGACCGCCUUUAUCACGAAAUAAAACACUUCCAGGAAGGUCUCUCAUGCUGCUUCGCACCCGGUCCUUCCCCACCUGCAGGUAACGACGGACCCGCCUCCUGUGGCUACCACUUCGGUGUGCCCGUUGCGGAUGCCACUCCGACAGAGUCCCGCGCCCCGUGCGCUCUUGCGGAUCUGCCCCUUUGGCUCGGCAUGACGAUGACGAGACUGCAUGAGCCUGUGCGUGCCUAUGCUUGGCUCCUUUUAUCGCGAACCCACCCUAGAUGGUUGGUCCAUUCACGAGUCGAUGGCCACUGGGCGUGUUCCGGUCCCUGCUACUAUGAACUCUCGUGUUUGAGCCUUUUCGUGGGCAAAUCUUGUCCUUGCUUUGAGGGCAUGUCGUAGCAGUAUAUUUAAGUUUGUAAGACACUGCCAAAUUAUUCCAGAAUGGUAGCGCGAUGUCACGUGCUCCUCCCCUCGUCCCACGUCAGCGUAUGAGAAUUCCAGAUGAUCUGUAUCCCGGCCAACACUUGGGAGGCCCCACCUCUGAAAUGCAGCGCUGUAGUGGGUGUGAAGUGGCGUCUCGCUGUGCUUUCAAUUAGCGUCCCCAGGAUCACUGCGUUUCAUAUGCUGGUUGGCCGGGCAGAGAGCUCCAUCUGGGGAGCGGAAGCUCGCGGCCUUUGGCCAUGUCCGUAUGGGGUUGCGCAUCUCAAGACUGAGUUGCCAGCGUCCCUUAUACAUUCCGAAUAAAAAUCCUCGGGCAGAGACGUGCGUUGCAAAUAUUCUCUCGGUCUAAGAUUUGCCUCUUCAGUUUUCUUCACUGUGGUUUUGGAAAAGCCGGAUCCUUCCAUUUGGGCGGAGUCCGUUUAUCGAUUUUUUUUUUUUUUUUACUUUUGUGGUUAAUGCUUUUUGUGUCCUUGUGAUGACUUCAUGGGCCCAUGAGUCAUCUUGCAGUUAGUUGUCUCUGACUGCUUAUUUCUCUGCUGUGGGUCAUUUUCCUGUUUUUUUUUUUUUCUUUUUUCACUGAACCUCGUGAGGGAUACAUUCUAGUCUCUUUCAUCCCUCUGGAGAGUCGAGAGUUUUGUCCUAGCAGGUAGCUCCAUUUCCUCUCUGCCCUGAACUACUGGGUCACUGAGGCUCUGCGCCCCGGCUGGAGCACGUCCCCUGACACCACUCAGCCUCUGGAGUCACAUCGCGGCCCCUCGCUGGCGCCCUGCCUCACAGCUUCCAGAACCAUCAGCGCCCUGAGCUCUGUCAGCUGCCUCCUCCACUCAGUGCGACCACCGUGCUUUCCGAGGACAUGCUCGCUGAGCCAUGGCGGGAACCGUCCUAGGGGAUCUUGCUGUUCUUCUCCCGAGCCUCCCUUCACCCACUACAUGGUCACGCACAGCUGGCCAUACAGCGCCGGGCGCGAGGUGCCUCGUACCUGUCGUCCAGGUGCGUGGCUGUCCGUCAGGGGUGGGUCGGUCUAGCACCAGAUUUGUCGACAGAAGUGGAAGCAGAAGUCACCCAGAGCUCUUUAGUAGACCUGAGGUCUGUCUAGAACCACGAGCUCAGGGCAGACAGCCCCAAACAGGUGAGCCGCUCCUUCCACCAGGUACACGAGCGAGGAGCUGGGAUGACCGGCCAGGACGCGAUGCCAGGGGAGCUCCAGGCAAGACUGUGGGUCCCCAAGCUGCAGAAGAGCCAAGCACAGUGCCUGGCACACGGUGGAGCGUGAUGGCGGUGUCCCCUGACCUGCGAGACCAUCUGCAGCUCCCUGUCUGUGUCCUGCCCAGGGCCUGUUGCUCUCGUGGUGUUUAAGGAAACGUCUGUCUUCCCUCUUCUCUCCCUGGAGAGGCGCAGACCGCCCAGCACCCUCGCAGGGCUCCCCCGCUAGCCUCAACCCCUCCCAGAAGCAUUCAUUUCCAGCCCUGGCUGCGAGGGGCUCCCAGCGACGGUGCACCCACCCCUCCCCCGUCACGGGGACAUCUGUGCACAGUCCUCUCCUGACCGAUGUGCCGUGGGACAAAGAGGCACCACCCAAGAGGAAGGCAUGACCUGGCCGAUCACCCCUCCUCAGGAAAAGAGACAGAGACCCCGACUGGAACAAAGCCAAGGUCAGCUCCUGACCUUGACACCGACUGCUCUGCUCCAAACAGCUCACAUUUCCAUGGCUCCACAUGGCCCUUUUAUUAUUGGAGGUACACCACAGCAUCAUUCAUUCAUUCAUUCAUUCGUGUUGGGGCAAACAUGACCUGAGUUCUCCCAGCCCGCCCCCUGCCUCUCCCGAAGGGGGGUUGGUUUCACCCGCUGUGUUCCUUCCCCUCUCGCCCACCCCCAAGGAGGAGGUGGCUGCCCUUGCUGCUUGGAGCCUUGGACCUUCUAGGAUGCAGACUCAGGAUGGAAAAAAGCUUUGGAGACAGAAGGGGUGGGUGGGGACUGUGGGAUGGUUUCAGGGAGGGGCCACGGGAGAAAGUACACCGAUGCAGCUCUGUGGGCCUUUCCUGGGGUUCAGAGGUGCAAAGAAACUAGAACUAUUCUGAAGUUAGUUACGAGUCUCUGGACUGGGACCGACACUGCUGGCUCCCUGACCCAAUCGCACUCCCAAACCUUCCUGACCCUCUGCCUCCAGGGACAGACUGGCUAAUCGCCCUUCUUCCCAGCAUGUUUAGCCAUGGGAUGGCCAUGCGACCUAUUUCCACCACUGAGACACAAGCAGAAGUCUGUGGGAACUUCUGGGGGAAGAUUUUAUGUUUUUAACUUUCUUGAUUAAAAAAAAAAAAAA